UACGUAGGGGGCUAGCGUUGUUCGGAAUCAUUGGGCGUAAAGAGCGUGUAGGCGGCCCGGUAAGUCCGCUGUGAAAGUCGGGGGCUCAACCCUCGAAUGCCGGUGGAUACUGUCGGGCUAGAGUGCGGAAGAGGCGAGUGGAAUUCCUGGUGUAGCGGUGAAAUGCGCAGAUAUCAGGAGGAACACCAAUUGCGAAGGCAGCUCGCUGGGACGUUACUGACGCUGAGACGCGAAAGCGUGGGGAGCAAACAGG
rnacentral:rRNA from 1 species